rnacentral:rRNA from 2 species
GUGAGGAAUAUUGGUCAAUGGGCGGAAGCCUGAACCAGCCAAGUCGCGUGAGGGAAGAAGGCCCUGCGGGUCGCAGACCUCUUUGGACGGGGAGCAAGGCCGCCGACGUGUCGGCGGAAGGAGAGUACCCGUAGAACAAGCAUCGGCUAACUCCGUGCCAGCAGCCGCGGUAAUACGGAGGAUGCGAGCGUUAUCCGGAUUUAUUGGGUUUAAAGGGUGCGCAGGCGGCACGGCAAGCCGGCGGUCAAAUCGCGGGGCUCAACCCCGCCCAGCCGUCGGAACUGCCGGGCUAGAGUGGGCGAGAAGUGCGCGGAAUGCGUGGUGUAGCGGUGAAAUGCAUAGAUAUCACGCAGAACUCCGAUUGCGAAGGCAGCGCACCGGCGCCCUACUGACGCUCAGGCACGAAAGCGUGGGUAUCGAACAGGAUUAGAAACCCUUGUAGUCC